UAUGGUCAAAUCUCUCUGAAAACACCUGUUCUCAUUUGAUCACCAAAGUUAAGCAAUGUCAAGCCCAGUCAGUACUUAGAUGGAGGAGAACUUGGGAACAUUAGGUAAUGU